CCAGCCGUAAACGAUGGACACUAGGUGUUGGAGGUUCGAAUCCUUCAGUGCCGCAGUUAACGCAUUAAGUGUCCCGCCUGGGGAGUACGGUCGCAAGACUGAAACUCAAAGGAAUUGACGGGGGCCCGCACAAGCGGUGGAGCAUGUGGUUUAAUUCGAUGCAACGCGCAGAACCUUACCGAGACUUGACAUCCCGUGACUAUCUGUGAAAGCAGAGUCUGCCUUCGGGCACACGGUGACAGGUGG
rnacentral:rRNA from 1 species